ensembl:lncRNA
AUUCAUUUUGCUUGCAGGGAUCAUUUUAAAGCUCAAACUGACUUCCUACACUAGUCCAUGUUCUCUCUAGGGAAGCUCGUUUUAAAUUCUGAGUAGUGAGCUCGCUGUAAAAUGUGCUUUUACUUGUUUGUUAUUUUAGGAUAUUAUUCUGUCAGUAUAACAAAGUAUUCAAGUUGUCAUGAUAACACAACAUUACUAGUUAGUAACAUAUCUACGACAAAUAAAACGCUAAUUUGAAAAUUAAUUCAAUUGAAUUAACACGCUAGUAGUAUAUUUUAAGUCAACUUGAUUAAGGAAGUAGUCGCGGCCGUUAUCAAAGUGCAUUAUGGGGUUGGCGGGCGAAGUUGACUUCCUUUCCGUCCUUGAGCCUUUUCGGACCAGGCUUCGGUAGCAUCAUCGGCUCAGACUGUUUUCAAGGUUGCUGGUUCCAAAAUGAUCUGGAAGUGUAAGUUGUGCGCAGCUUCUUUCACCUCCAGAAUACAGUUAUUUAGACACUAUAGGCUGCAACAAGAUGAGACGGGCUGGAUGUCAGGAGGUCACUGUUAAUGCUGUAAAAAGAAGUAGAAGAAAGGAUCCUUCAAUCCUUGAGCAGUUGAGG